rnacentral:rRNA from 1 species
GACGAACGCUGGCGGCGUGCCUAACACAUGCAAGUCGAACGGAAAGGCCCUGCGUUUGCGGGGUGCUCGAGUGGCGAACGGGGGUGUAACACGUGAGUAACCUGCCCUUAACUGUGGGAGAACUUCAGGGAACUGGGGCUAAUACCGGGGAGGAGCUCCUGCUGCAUGUGGGGGGUUGGAAAGUGUCGGCGGUUGGGGAUGGACUCGCGGCUUAUCAGCUUGUUUGUGGGGUAGUGGCUUACCAAGGCUUUGACGGGUAGCCGGCGUGAGAGGGUGACCGGCCACAUUGGGACUGAGAUACGGCCCAGACUCCUACGGGAGGCAGCAGUGGGGAAUAUUGCACAAUGGGCGGAAGCCUGAUGCAGCAACGCCGCGUGCGGGAUGACGGCCUUCGGGUUGUAAACCGCUUUCGCCUGUGACGAAGAGUGAGUGACGGUAAUGGGUAAAGAAGCACCGGCUAACUACGUG